UCCUCAAUAGCUCAGUCGGUAGAGCGCGUGACUGUUAAUCACGAUGUCGCUGGUUCGAGUCCAGCUUGGGGAGCCA
rnacentral:tRNA from 1 species